CUGUCCCUUUAAGUGGGUAACCUGCAACUCUAGGGGGGUGCCCUGCAAAUCCAGGGGGGUACCUUGUCACUUUAAGGGGGUGCCCUGUCACUCCUCCCCGGGCCCGGUUGAGGUGGGAGCCUGGGCCCGAGGCAUCACUAGGCCCGCGUGUCUGGGGGCUCCAGACACGCGGUCUGCAACUUUUCCUCAGGAUCCGCGGCCUUCAUGUGCCGCGUGGGAAGCACGGCCUACCUGGCCUGCAUCCACGGCCAGGGGCAGUGGAAGGCGGGCCGUACGUUCCUGGCGGGUGGUGCCGUUCGUGACCAGGGGGUCCUCAAG